AACCCUUGGCGAAGAGCCGAAGAGGUAGGGGCGUAGCAGCGUAGGGGUAGUCGCCGAGUCGGCCUUUUUUUUUUCUUUCAAUUUAGUCAUUUUAGAGUUUUAUUUUCACAAAUACAUAUUUUUCAGUUUCAAUUCAGGAAAUGCUCUUAGGUUGGCACCAUCAUUAUUGACGUCAAGCUACGUGUCGUCGCCAAUUAUUUUGGCAACUAGAUGUAAUCAUUGAGGCUAACAUGGAGCUGAUGUGGCAGCAAGUAGGCGCCAUCACUCUUGACGUCGAGGUAGUCGUCAUGGAUCUUAGCGUCGACCUACGGGGCUAUAAAUACC
rnacentral:lncRNA from 1 species